rnacentral:rRNA from 1 species
GAUGAAAGAGGGAGGCGUGCCUAAUACAUGCAAGUCGAGCGAACAGACGAGGAGCUUGCUGCUUUGACGUUAGCGGCGGACGUGUGAGUAACACGUGGAUAAUCUACCUAUAAGACUGGGAUAACUUCGGGAAACCGGAGCUAAUACCGGAUAAUCUUUUGAACCGCAUGGUUCAAUAGUGAAAGACGGUGUUGCUGGCACUUAUAGAUGGAUCCGCGCUGCAUUAGCUAGUUGGUAAGGUAACGGCUUACCAAGGCAACGAUGCAUAGCCGACCUGAGAGGGUGAUCGGCCACACUGGAACUGAGACACGGUCCAGACUCCUACGGGAGGCAGCAGUAGGGAAUCUUCCGCAAUGGGCGAAAGCCUGACAGAGCAACGCCGCGUGAGUGAUGAAGGUCUUCGGAUCGUAAAACUCUGUUAUUAGGGAAGAACAUAUGUGUAAGUAACUGUGCACAUCUUGACGGUACCUAAUCAGAAAGCCACGGCUAACUACGUG